UAAAGUAAACUCAAUGUGUACACGUGGCAACUUUUUAGAUGAAUGAAUUGUUGAUUUUGGCGGGGGUUUGGUAUUGAGAAUGAGUUCGUAUAUGGGUCUAUACAUACCCGAAUUCCUCUUGAUUCGGAUCCAUUAGAAACAAAAGAACCCCUUAUCCCUCUUUUGCAGAAACCCUAGCGUCAAAAUCUCUCAGCCAAUCUCUCAGCCAAUUCCUUCUUCUUCCUUUCAAUGCACAGCGAUCUACAAGAUGAUAAAGGCGUUUGGUUUAUGAUGUGCUUUUGAAGCAGGCAACUUUAGUUAAAGAUCAAGUUAUUGAGAAGUGAAGAAGUUUGUUCAGAGUAUGCCAAGACACUCUAUUUAGAUGAUGUUGCUUCAGUUACACUCAUUCCAACUCCAGUUUCAGUUUCAACAAAUCCAAAGUGGCUACUGAACUCGCAUUAAAAUACAUUACACUUAGACCUUUCAGCUGGGAUCAAGAUACUGACAAAGUCAAGUUUGAAUUGACUAUUCAUGCAAUAAAACGGAUGAUUAUAAAAGUGGAUGUAAGAUUGUUGAAGAAAUAACGGAUGAUUAUAAAAGUGGAUGUAAGAUUGUUGAAAAAGAAAAGAAGGAUUUAAUAACCAUACCUUGUAGAUCGUUGUGCAUUGAAGGGAAGAAGAAGGAAUUGGCUGAGAGAUUGGCUGAGAGAUUUUGACGCUAGGGUUUCUGCAAAAGAGGGAUAAGGGGUUCUUUUGUUUCUAAUGGAUCCGAAUCAAGAGGAAUUCGGGUAUGUAUAGACCCAUAUACGAACUCAUUCUCAAUACCAAACCCCCGUCAAAAUCAACAAUUCAUUCAUCUAAAAAGUUGCCACGUGUACACAUUGAGUUUACUUUAUUAUAUGUAUAGAUACCAACGGUUCUAGGAACAAAACCAGAAUUACUCAGACAAUUUAUGUGUUCUUUUGAACGAAGAUAGAAUCUUGAUUAUAAAAAAGAACUCCAAAUCUAAUGAAUCUGUUUGGUUUCUUGAGGUAAUAGUAUUCACAUUUAUUGAUCUUGAAAUGAUAGCGUUCAUUAGGUUUUAUUAGGUGGACACACAAUUUAGACGAGACCAAAAAAGUUUGAAACAAAAGUUGUUGCUUGGAGUAAGGGGUUAUUGGUAAUGCUGAGCGGCCCAUAGUAAUUAGUAGCCCGUGUAUGUCGGGUUUGUAAUAUGUCAAAAACGUUUUGUCAAGUGAUGGUUUGAUUUGAAUUCACUAAAUUUUAUGGUUUGCAAGUAUAUCAUGAAGAUAUGAAGAUGUUUUGAUGACGAUACCAAGUUUAAACCACUAUAACUAAAUGAAAUUGUUCUGACUUAUUUAG
rnacentral:lncRNA from 1 species